CAAUAGCGUAUAUUUAAGUUGUUGCAGUUAAAAAGCUCGUAGUCGGAUUUUGGCUGAGAACGAUCGGUCCGCCGUUAGGUGUGCACUGAUUGGUCUCAGCUUCCUGGUGAGGAGGUGUGCUUCACGGCCACUUAGUCACCGUGGUUACUUUGAAAAAAUUAGAGUGUUCAAAGCGAGCUUACGCUUGAAUAUAUUAGCAUGGAAUAACACCAUAGGACUCCUGUCCUAUUUCGUUGGUCUCGGGACGGGAGUAAUGAUUAAGAGGAACAGUUGGGGGCAUUCGUAUUUCAUUGUCAGAGGUGAAAUUCUUGGAUUUAUGAAAGACGAACUUCUGCGAAAGCAUUUGCCAAGGAUGUUUUCAUUGA
rnacentral:rRNA from 1 species